rnacentral:rRNA from 1 species
UGGGGGGUGGGGGCCUUAUCUUGGCAAGUCGAGCGGAAGCAAAUAAGAGCUUGGCUCUUAUGAAUUUCGCGGGGGACGGGGGAGUAACACGUGGGUAACCUGGCCCUAUGACUGGGAUUACUCCCGGAAACCGGGGCUAAUACCGGAUAAAAUUUUGAACAGCAUGGUUCGAAAUUGAAAGGCCGCUUCGGCUGUCACUUAUGGAUGGACCCGCGUCGCAUUAGCUAGGUGGUGAGGUAACGGCUCACCAAGGCCUCGAUGCGUAGCCAACCUGAGAGGGUGAUCGGCCACUCUGGGACUGAGACACGGCCCAGACUCCUACGGGAGGCAGAAUAUUGGAAUCUUCCGCAAUGGACGAAAGUCUGACGGAGCAACGCCGCGUGAGUGAUGAAGGCUUUCGGGUCUUAAAACUCUGUUGUUAGGGAAGAACGUUUGCUAGUUGAAUAAUCUGGCACCUUGACGGUACCUAACCGAAAGCCUCGGCUAACUACGUGCCAGCAGCCGCGGUAAUACGUAGGUGGCAAGCGUUAUCCGGAAUUAUUGGGCGUAAAGCGCGCGCAGGUGGUUUCUUAAGUCUGAUGUGAAAGCCCACGGCUCACCCGUGGAGGGUCAUUGGAAACUGGGAGACUUGAGUGCAGAAGAGGAAAGUGGAAUUCCAUGUGUAUGCGGUGAAAUGCUGUAAAGAUAUGGAGGAACACCAGUGGCGAACUGGACUUUCUGUGUCUGUUCCUGACACUGAGGCGCGAGAGCGUGGGGAUUAACAGGUUAAGAUACCCUAGUUAUUCCAA